rnacentral:rRNA from 1 species
UACGGGAGGCAGCAGUGGGGAAUAUUGCACAAUGGGCGAAAGCCUGAUGCAGCUAUGCCGCGUGUAUGAAGAAGGCCUUAGGGUUGUAAAGUACUUUCAUCGGGGAGGAAAAAACAAAACUAAUAAUUUUAUUUCUUGACGUUACCCGAAAAAGAAGCACCGGCUAACUCCGUGCCAGCAGCCGCGGUAAUACGGAGGGUGCUAGCGUUAAUCAGAAUUACUGGGCGUAAAGAGCACGUAGGUGGUUUUUUUAAGUCAGAUGUGAAAUCCCUGGGCUUAACCUAGGAACUGCAUUUUGAAACUGAAAUACUAGAGUAUCGUAGGGGGAGGUAGAAUUCUAGGUGUAGCGGUGAAAUGCGUAGAUAUCUGGAGGAAUACCUGUGGCGAAAGCGGCCUCCUAAACGAAUACUGACACUGAGGGUGCGAAAGCGUGGGGAGCAAACGAGGGAUUAGAUACCCGU